UACGUAGGUGGCGAGCGUUGUCCGGAAUCAUUGGGCGUAAAGAGCGCGUAGGCGGCUUGUCAGGUCUGACGUGAAAUGCCGGGGCUUAACCCCGGACGUGCAUCAGAAACCGGCUUGCUAGAGUCUGGGAGAGGGAAGUGGAAUUCCUGGUGUAGCGGUGAAAUGCGCAGAUAUCAGGAGGAACACCGGUAGCGAAGGCUGCUUCCUGGAACAGUACUGACGCUGAGGCGCGAAAGCUAGGGGAGCAAACAGG
rnacentral:rRNA from 1 species